GUGAAAUCAAGUUUGCAAGCGGUAGGCUACGUCGAUGCGUGCCCGUUUUUUUCUCUCGUGAAACCAGUACGAAAAAAAAACUAUUUGCAAAUCGUAACACACGCACAAACGGAAGUGAGCACGGACCACGAUAGAAAUAAUCAAUUGGUUGCAGUGCCGAAAACAAAAGGACAGGAGAGGCAGGAACGAUCAUUCAACGCGUUAGCGCCGGACGAAGGAAAAGCGGCAGGAAGGCAGGAACGAUCCUCCAACGUGCUAGCGCCUGGUAGAGGAGAGGCGGCAGGAAGGUAGGGACGAUCAUCCAGCACGCUAGCGCAGCACCUGGGAGCAGCGAGGGGGAGGCAAGCAGGAAUAAUUUUUAACGCGUGCACACCAUUCGACGAAGACAACGCUGGAUGAAAGGAAGGAGGAGGAGAGAAGGCAGGCAAGACGGGUACGUGUGUAUUCCGCACCGGUUUUCGGCAGUGUGAAUUGUGUGAGUAUGUAAAUUUGUAUGUGCGAGUAAGAAGGUAAAAUAAAGAGCGUAAGCAUGUGCGGAAUCGACAAAUGAGAGAAAGAGCUUUGUAGGGAGAAUGAAGAGAAUGAAAGAAAUUGAGAAGGGAUGUAGCAUACAGAAACCAAAUGUAUGAUACACGCUGUCACACGGUUGGAAAAACCUUCUCUAUAGUUCUGCUAUAGAGAACGAUUUGACCGC